UGGCUCUGGCCAGGGCUCCUAUCCGUGUC
rnacentral:piRNA from 1 species